rnacentral:rRNA from 1 species
AUCUAUACCGUGAAACUGCGAAUGGCUCAUUAAAUCAGUUAUCGUUUAUUUGAUAGUACCUUACUACUUGGAUAACCGUGGUAAUUCUAGAGCUAAUACAUGCUAAAAACCUCGACUUCGGAAGGGGUGUAUUUAUUAGAUAAAAAACCAAUGCCCUUCGGGGCUCCUUGGUGAUUCAUAAUAACUUAACGAAUCGCAUGGCCUUGUGCCGGCGAUGGUUCAUUCAAAUUUCUGCCCUAUCAACUUUCGAUGGUAUGGUCUUGGCUUACCAUGGUUUCAACGGGUAACGGGGAAUUAGGGUUCUAUUCCGGAGAGGGAGCCUGAGAAACGGCUACCACAUCCAAGGAAGGCAGCAGGCGCGCAAAUUACCCAAUCCCGACACGGGGAGGUAGUGACAAUAAAUACUGAUACAGGGCUCUUUUGGGUCUUGUAAUUGGAAUGAGUACAAUUUAAAUCCCUUAACGAGGAACAAUUGGAGGGCAAGUCUGGUGCCAGCAGCCGCGGUAAUUCCAGCUCCAAUAGCGUAUAUUAAAGUUGUUGCAGUUAAAAAGCUCGUAGUUGAACCUUGGGCCUGGCUGGCCGGUCCGCCUCACCGCGUGCACUGGUCCGGCCGGGUCUUUCCUUCUGGGGAGCCGCAUGCCCUUCACUGGGUGUGUCGGGGAACCAGGACUUUUACUUUGAAAAAAUUAGAGUGUUCAAAGCAGGCCUAUGCUCGAAUACAUUAGCAUGGAAUAAUAGAAUAGGACGUGUGGUUCUAUUUUGUUGGUUUCUAGGACCGCCGUAAUGAUUAAUAGGGAUAGUCGGGGGCAUCAGUAUUCAAUUGUCAGAGGUGAAAUUCUUGGAUUUAUUGAAGACUAACUACUGCGAAAGCAUUUGCCAAGGAUGUUUUCAUUAAUCAGUGAACGAAAGUUAGGGGAUCGAAGACGAUCAGAUACCGUCGUAGUCUUAACCAUAAACUAUGCCGACUAGGGAUCGGGCGAUGUUAUAUCAUUGACUCGCUCGGCACC